rnacentral:rRNA from 1 species
UACGUAGGGCGCGAGCGUUGUCCGGAAUCAUUGGGCGUAAAGAGCUCGUAGGCGGCCGGUUGCGUCUGCUGUGAAAUCCCGGGCUUAACCCCGGGCGUGCAGUGGAUACGGGCUGGCUGGAGGCAGGCAGGGGAGAAUGGAAUUCCCGGUGUAGCGGUGAAAUGCGCAGAUAUCGGGAGGAACACCGGUGGCGAAGGCGGUUCUCUGGGCCUGACCUGACGCUGAGGAGCGAAAGCGUGGGGAGCGAACAGG